rnacentral:rRNA from 1 species
UGCAAGUCGAACGCUUCUUUUUCCACCGGAGCUUGCUCCACCGGAAAAAGAGGAGUGGCGAACGGGUGAGUAACACGUGGGUAACCUGCCCAUCAGAAGGGGAUAACACUUGGAAACAGGUGCUAAUACCGUAUAACAAUCGAAACCGCAUGGUUUUGAUUUGAAAGGCGCUUUCGGGUGUCGCUGAUGGAUGGACCCGCGGUGCAUUAGCUAGUUGGUGAGGUAACGGCUCACCAAGGCGACGAUGCAUAGCCGACCUGAGAGGGUGAUCGGCCACAUUGGGACUGAGACACGGCCCAAACUCCUACGGGAGGCAGCAGUAGGGAAUCUUCGGCAAUGGACGAAAGUCUGACCGAGCAACGCCGCGUGAGUGAAGAAGGUUUUCGGAUCGUAAAACUCUGUUGUUAGAGAAGAACAAGGAUGAGAGUAACUGUUCAUCCCUUGACGGUAUCUAACCAGAAAGCCACGGCUAACUACGUGCCAGC